CCUACGGGUGGCAGCAGUGGGGAAUAUUGCACAAUGGGCGCAAGCCUGAUGCAGCCAUGCCGCGUGUAUGAAGAAGGCCUUCGGGUUGUAAAGUACUUUCAGCGGGGAGGAAGGUGUUGAGGUUAAUAACCUCAGCAAUUGACGUUACCCGCAGAAGAAGCACCGGCUAACUCCGUGCCAGCAGCCGCGGUAAUACGGAGGGUGCAAGCGUUAAUCGGAAUUACUGGGCGUAAAGCGCACGCAGGCGGUCUGUCAAGUCGGAUGUGAAAUCCCCGGGCUCAACCUGGGAACUGCAUUCGAAACUGGCAGGCUGGAGUCUUGUAGAGGGGGGUAGAAUUCCAGGUGUAGCGGUGAAAUGCGUAGAGAUCUGGAGGAAUACCGGUGGCGAAGGCGGCCCCCUGGACAAAGACUGACGCUCAGGUGCGAAAGCGUGGGGAGCAAACAGGAUUAGAUACCCUAGUAGUC
rnacentral:rRNA from 1 species